UACAGAGGUCUCAAGCGUUGUUCGGAUUCAUUGGGCGUAAAGGGUGCGUAGGUGGCGCGGUAAGUCGGGUGUGAAAUCUCGGGGCUUAACUCCGAAACUGCAUUCGAUACUGCCGUGCUCGAGGACUGGAGAGGAGACUGGAAUUUACGGUGUAGCAGUGAAAUGCGUAGAUAUCGUAAGGAAGACCAGUGGCGAAGGCGAAUCUCUGGACAGUUACUGACACUGAGGCACGAAGGCCAGGGGAGCAAACGGG
rnacentral:rRNA from 1 species